GUGAUCAAAUUUUAGAACCUAUUCUGAGUCAGAAGAAAAAAAUAUUGUCUAUGAAAUCAGUGAUAGAAGAGAUGGAAGAGAGAAAUCAAGUUGGCUGCCAAAACAUUUGUCAUGAGUGACUGGAAGAAAAGAGUUAAUCUUCACUGAAAUGAAGAUGACAAGGGAAAGGUCAUCUGAGGAUAGCAAGAAGGCAGCCAUCUGAAAACCAAGGAGAGAGACAUCACCAGAAACCAAUCCUGCUGUUACCUCAAUCUAGGAAUUCCAGUCUCCAGAACUGCGAGAAGAUAGAUGUCUGUUGUUUGAAGCACUCAAUCUGUGGUAUUUUUUAAUGGCAGAAAGAGGCACCAACCAAUGAAAAUACUAAAGGAGUGAUAUCACCAAGAUGGAGACAUACGUCAUUACUGACGUUGCAACCCCACAGCAAGAAGAAGAACUAACAACCACUCAUGGACAACAAACCACUGAGAAAAUUCCAGGACACAGAGGUAUGUUAUGAACCAUUCACCACAGAAAUAUCACUGCUGAGAGGAAGCGUAUAAGGACCAGGGUUCAGGUGACUGACAUUCUCCUCCUACCAGCACAUUGGCUUCAGGGGGACGUCAUGGCUGAAGAAACCCUUCUUGGACCUGAGCUCUGCUGGAUGGGGGCAUGGAGUGACUCAGUUAAGUAAGAUCGUGCAGGUUACUGGACUUCAACAUUUACAUCAUCCAGCCUUUCAUGGAGUUUGCCGUGAAUGACUGUCACAAGAAGGGAGGCGGCCAUCUAGUAAAAUAAAAAAGAGCAAUAAGACGCAGACUUCAGGGCUUACAAUUUUACUUAUUACUGAACCUGUUUGAUAUUUAAGAGAAGAUUUUUAUUAAUAUUAGAAAAAUAUUG
ensembl:lncRNA